CAGGCAAUUAAACGUGUGUGCGUGUGCAGGGUUAAAUGAGAUCACCGAAAGUAAUUACCGGUAUCCAUCACCGCAGCUCAAGCCCAAGCUGAGAUUACCCCAACGACAUCAUCAGGGUUGUGUUCAAACAUCAGGAAGCUCCUCCGCAGCCACAGAAGUCACGACUAGUCUGUUUUCACCAGCUGAUUAGUUCUCCUCAUUACAAUGCGUGAACAAGUCCUGCGGUGUGAUUGAGGAUCAGCAAUGUUGGAAACGGGACAAAUAAAUGGACGGAUGGUUGCUCUGAUUAUUUCCAGUGAUUAUAAGAGGAACACUCCUUUCUACAUCGUACUGCUGCAGCUCCAGCGCGCAUAAUCAUCUCCAGUGUAUGCAGUGAUUCAUGGGUGUAAGGCGAUGAGGGGAGAUACACGGUGUAAAGCGGGUGUUGCACGCAGGGAGUUGUCAGAUAUUUUGUGAAAACAGAGUCUGUGGAAGGUGAAGGAAACAACAUAUAAAUGCUCUGCGCUCACAAAACUUCUGGUGCUGGGACAGGUGGCUGUUCCUCCAGGCAGUGCGCAGACAGCUUCGGAUGUGCGAGUGCUGCCGUGUUGUUUCAGUCAGCGCAGCGUAACGCAGCCAGCAAGAUGGCCAGAGCAGCGAGGUCAGUGUCUUGUUCAUUUAUCCCCUGUUGAAACUUGAUGUACUGAAGUCUGCGCAAAUCGUGUUCACUUGUUUUAACUGAAGCUGCUGCUAAAACUUAACAUCUUACGUCAUCGUAAUAGGUUCUGUCUGAUCCUUAGAAGUCAAACGUCUGCUCAGCUGCUUCCUGUCAGGCACCCUGGGUCUCUGUUUGUUGCUGUUACUGUUAUGUUCGUCAAGUAAAUAAGCGUUUUCACUGCAGUCAUGCAUGUACUGUAUAUAUGCGCCCCAGUGCCCACCCCAUUUUAUGUUUUUUUUUUUUUUAAAUUCAGCAUAAAAAAUGAGAGCUUUGAUAUUGGGUUUGUCAUUUCUGCUUUUGUCAGCCUGUGAGUAGCAGAUUAUGGGUCGUGGAGCGUGCUUUUCAAUGUCGGUUGAGUCAGUACACUCAGAGGUAGACAAGAAGCAACAUGCAGAUGGAAUCACAGAGUGUUUUAAUUAUUGGUAACGCAAAAGUUACCUUCCUCAGUGGGUAGGGCUGUGAUGUGCCAGUUAACUUUUCACCAGUAAUCUUGUCUUGGUCACAAUUAUUUUUCUGUAGAGGCGCUACCCAACACUGUUUAUACAGAAGUGAGCAGAUUAAUGAGUGAUGACAAUAAUGGUUAUUUUCUUGCUGUUAUUUAUGCAUGCAGAACACUGAACCUGAAAUAUGUCAAAUAAAGAUGUAUAGACUAAAAA